GACGAACGCUGGCGGCGUGCUUAACACAUGCAAGUCGAACGGAAAGGCCCUGCUUUUGUGGGGUUCUCGAGUGGCGAACGGGUGAGUAACACGUGAGUAACCUGCCCUUGACUUUGGGAUAACUUCAGGAAACUGGGGCUAAUACCGGAUAGGAGAUCCUGCUGCAUGGUGGGGGUUGGAAAGUUUCGGCGGUUGGGGAUGGACUCGCGGCUUAUCAGCUUGUUGGUGGGGGAGUGGCUUACCAAGGCUUUGGCGGGUAGCCGGCCUGAGAGGGUGACCGGGGACAAGAGGACUGAGAGAGGCAGCAGUGGGCUAUGGGAGGCAGUGGUGGGGAGUCUGACACAAUGGGCGGGAGUGGGAUGCAGCGACGCUGGGUGCGGGAUGACGGUUUGCUGGGUGUAAAAAGCUGUCGGCUGAGACGAAGCGGGAGUGACGGUAACGGGUAAAGAAGCACCGGCUAACUACGUG
rnacentral:rRNA from 1 species